CCCAAAGUCAGUUACCAGGUUUCAUUUGCAUAAUUGCUGCUCAGCAUUAACCCUUCUGUGGAUUAGGUUGCUGCUCGGCACAACUUUUCCUGUGUGGACAGUAAAUGUCAUUAACCACUUUUCUAUAAGCGGAUGAAUACAUGAGACCAGGUUUCAUUUGCACAAUUACUGCUCAGCAUUAAACCUUCUGUGGAUUAAGUUGCUGCUCGGCACAACUUUUCCUGUGUGGACAGUAAAUGUCAUUAACCACAUUUCUAUAAGCGGAUGAAUACGUG